ACCUUCUCAAAAAAGCACCACAUUCUGUAACUGAUGCCUCAGCUUUAAAGCUGUGGUCAAGUCAUGGGAAUGUUGGCCGUCACGAGAAGGAGAAUUACGCAGUUUUAGUGGGUGAGACCAAAGAGAACCUCUUUUCUAAUGUUCAAUGUUUUGACUCUCAAUACUAACUGCGACAACU